UAUCCUCUAAUUUGUUGUGAACCAGCAUCAACUGCCAGAAAUGUGAGUGAACAUGUCUUCAGGUUAUUCCUGCCCCAGAUUUGGAGACUCCUCACUGAAGACCUGAACACUGUGGAGCCGCACACAGUCAUCUCUGCUAUGCUUUGUCUGAAUUUUUGAUGUACACAUCUCUGAAGAUAGUUGGUUGAUCAAAAAGCCUUCAAUGGAGUAGAUUAAUGGCCCAUUCUUGCUUGUCACAAGAAUACAGUUGUGUAAAUCAUCACAGCUCCAGAGGCCAGAAGUCUGAAGUCAAGGUGUCUGCAAGGCCAAUGCUUUCUCUGAAGGUAUGAGGAAUGGAGCUUCCCCUGCCUUUCUUCUUGUAGCCUAUGCUGUCCUGCAUUGAAGUAGAUUCAUCAUUCCAAUCGUUGGUCUUCGUGUGACAUUAUUCCUGUGUAUC